ensembl:lncRNA SCN1A-AS1 SCN1A and SCN9A antisense RNA 1
AUUGGCAGCAGCAGGCAGCCAGGCAGGCUGGGAGUUUGCAUGGAAAUCAUGAAGUCUUUCUUGUCUUCCUCUUUUGAAAUAUUUUGGAAGGCGAGUUAAGAAUAGCUCAGAAACUGGUCUCAUUCUUUUUGUGGGAAGAAUGACCAGAAGCAUAAAAGCUAAGUCUUCCAGCAAGUGCAAGACACCUCUUUUGGUGUUUGCAGUAAACCUAACAAGAAUGAAUUGCUAUCAGUAAAGUCCUGUACCAUGACACCUAAAAGGAAGGAAAUGGUAAAGCAAAGUAAUAACUCAAAGACAGUCACCGAGGGCUUUUGUCCACCUUUAACUCAUUGUGGAACUUGACAUCAUCAGACAGUAAAUCAAGAGGUACUGACAACUGAGACUGAGUGAUGGUCCCUGCCUAGGAUUUGGAAUCUUUGCAUGAAAUAGGGACUCUAGCCACCAGCGACAAAGAAGUCAGGGAGACUGCGGUCUCUAGGAAGCACUUCCAGGAAACAGGAAUUCAGGCAAAGUUGGACAUUCCAAAGAUGGCGUAGAUGAACAUGACCAGGAAGAGCAGGAGGCCGAUGUUAAACAACGCAGGAAGGGACAUCAUCAAAGCAAAGAGCAGCGUGCGGAUCCCCUUUGCUCCUUUGACUAGACGUAGGAUUCGGCCAAUCCUGGCAAGACGGAUCACUCGGAACAGGGUAGCAGAGAUCUCUGGAGGUGAAACAUUGCUCUGAACUGGCAUUGAUUCUAGCCCAGCUCUUGUAGACCAAUUACCAACUUCUCCAUCUCCCUCCAGUGCCUGGAACUGGACCUGGCACACAGGCAAAGGGUUAUCAACUGUGCUGCACUCUGAGGAGCUUGACCGGUUUAAUCUCUAGAAAGGAAUUCACCACCCCACCAGCACGCGGAACACAAUCAGGAAGGAGUGGAAGAAGUCGUUCAUGUGCCACCGUGGGAGCGUACAGUCAUCAUUGAUCUUGCAGACACAUUCUUUGUAGCUCUUACCAAAGAGCUGCAUGCCGACCACAGCAAAAAUGAAGACGAUGAUGGCCAACACUAAGCCUUUAGACUAAAAAGAAAACAAAUAUUACAUACCCUGAAUCUGUGCUGAAACCACAAAGGAGAGCAUCUUUGGAUCCUUCCAAGUAAUAAAAAUAUUCUGUUGAAGAAGAAUUUGAACAGUUAUAACAUCACAGACUUUAAUCUGUGAUUGUGAUAAAGGAGGUCAAAUUAAAAAAUCUGAUUAUUGGGAGACUUUUGGAGUAAUCAUGGAAGAAAGACUAUGAAAUCAGAUAUUCUUGGAUUUGAAUGUUGCUUCUAUCCCUUCUUAAGUAAGUGAAUUAUCUUUAAGCCAUUAAGCCUUAGCUGCUGCAUCUGUAAAAUACGUAUAAGAAUACCUACUUUAUAAAGUUGUUAAAUAGUAUAAAUAGGAUAUUGCAUGUAAACCACUUGAUACUGUGAUCCACACAUUCUGUACUAGCUGCUCAAAAACAGGAGUUAUUAUAAUUAGUUAAACUAUUAUACAAUUUGAGAUAAAACUAUUGAUUGAAUUACACAUCAUCAUUUUAUCUUACUUAGAAGACACAGAUAAAACAAUAAAGCCUUGCAGUUUGAGGUGCAAAUGUAGGUGAAAAUGUGCAUGAAAAGCUUUCCUGAAAACACUCCUGAACCUCGGGAAGGAUGGGCCUGGUAGAGUGAGUAUGGGAGAGGAUAAGAUGCAAUUUUGCAUACAUAAACAUCCAAAAUAUUUUAAUAAGGAUGGAUUACUUUAGAAUUAUCCUUUAAACUAAUGCUGGUUCACAUUUAUCAACCACUGAGGAGCUGAAUUAUAUGAAUGGGCUCUGGAGCUGUCUAUUAGCACACUGCUAUACUACUGUAUUUAACACAGUAUAAGAAUGAUGAAAGGUAAAGCAAUGCAGGUAGCUCACUCUAGGUUUGUAGAAAACUUUACAAUAAUUUCUAAACAACUAGACAUUAAAUUAUUAAGAUGGUUGGCUUCAAGAAGAUUUAAGGUUAACAUCUUUAAAAAUGGGAAAAAAUUGAAUGCAAAGAAAAAUGAAAUAUUGCUUGUGCAUAUUCAAAAGUGGGAUGAUUCUGAAAGAUAAAGAAUGAAUCACGGCCGGGCGCAGUGGCUCACGCCUGUAAUGCCAGCACUUUGGGAGGUCGAGGCGGGCAGAUCACGAGGUCAGGAGAUCGAGACCAUCCUGGCUAACACAAUGAAACCCCGUCUCUACUAAAAAUACAAAAAAAUAGCUGGGCGUGGUGGCGGGCACCUGUAGUCCCAGCUACUUGGCAGGCUGAGGCAGGAGAAUGGUGUGAACCCGGGAGGCGGAGCUUACAGUGAGCCGAGAUAGCGACACUGCAUUCCAGCCUAGGCGAC